UACGGAGGGGGCUAGCGUUGUUCGGAAUUACUGGGCGUAAAGCGCGCGUAGGCGGACCUGCAAGUCGGGGGUGAAAGCCCGAGGCUCAACCUCGGAACUGCCUUCGAUACUGCGGGUCUGCGAGUCCGGGAGAGGUGAGUGGAACUGCGAGUGUAGAGGUGAAAUUCGUAGAUAUUCGCAAGAACACCAGUGGGCGAAGGCGGCUCAC
rnacentral:rRNA from 1 species